rnacentral:rRNA from 1 species
CCUACGGGAGGCAGCAGUUGGGAAUAUUGCACAAUGGGGGAAACCCUGAUGCAGCGACGCCGCGUGAGUGAAGAAGUAUUUCGGUACGUAAAGCUCUAUCAGCAGGGAAGAAAAUGACGGUACCUGACUAAGAAGCCCCGGCUAACUACGUGCCAGCAGCCGCGGUAAUACGUAGGGGGCAAGCGUUAUCCGGAUUUACUGGGUGUAAAGGGAGCGUAGACGGCAGCGCAAGUCUGGAGUGAAAUCCCAUGGCUUAACCAUGGAACUGCUUUGGAAACUGUGCAGCUAGAGUGCAGGAGAGGUAAGCGGAAUUCCUAGUGUAGCGGUGAAAUGCGUAGAUAUUAGGAGGAACACCAGUGGCGAAGGCGGCUUACUGGACUGUAACUGACGUUGAGGCUCGAAAGCGUGGGGAGCAAACAGGAUUAGAUACCCUAGUAGUC